CUUAUCCGCCGCCACGUCCUGAGCUGCCCAUCUAUGGCGCGCCGGACUAGUUCCUCAUCCAGCCCGGCGCCUCCUCGUAGCCAAUCUCCACCACCUCCAGCGACCAACUCCAGCUCGUGCCUCAUACUAUGGUCCUGCCAGUGCGCCGCCGCCCGCCGCCGGUGAACGCCCUCCGCAAGGACUGCCACCGGCCCCUCUGCUUCGGCGCUCCCCGGCCGCUCCCGGCCCUCUGCCUAGUCGCCAGGGACGUGGUGCUCCUCGCCUGCUCCAGCCAGCCCCCCGCGCCGGCUCUGGCGGUCUGCUCCGACCUCUCCCGGUGGUGCUCGCCUGCUCGGGCGGACUCUGCCACCCAGGACUUCCCGUGAACAAAUAGCAAGCUAGUUGGGACACAGAAAUAGAAGGGGAAGAUAUAUUUCAUUGGUGCCCUCAACGGAAGUGUGUACACCCGGUGUUUCAGUUAGUCUGAAUGAAUUCCAGAAAUUUGAACAACCGUAGAUUGGACCACCGCCUUUGAUUUCAAACAACCCGCCUUCAAUCUCAAUCGAGAAAGCAUAUCAAAGGGCGAUGGAUCGAGGUUGGAUGAGUCAACCAAGAGCUAGUGCUGCUUACAAAGAUGGUGUCGAGCAAUUUCUGUCUUUUGCAUUCCGUGAUGUUCCGGCUGGUGAUAGAAUUCUUUGUCCUUGUGUAAAUUGCCGAAAUAAAGCUAUGCAGAGUUAUGAUGGAGUGAAGACUCACUGGAGAUGUGAUGGUAUUCUUCAAGGUUACACUAAGUGGGUUUGCCAUGGAGAGGAUUACAUUGAACCAUCAUUUGCAUUUGCUCAUGUAUCAGUGUCUUUUUUUCGUACUACUUCAGGGCACAACCCAAGUGUACUUGGGUUUUAAUUGUGCAAGACACUAGACAUGGAUACAUUAUUUUUAUGCUUUGCAUGUGGUUUGUGAAGAUGGUAUGAUAGCUGCAUUUAUGUCUCACUUCAAAUCAGUCCCAGAUGCUCGAGUCUGGAG